AAAAAAUAUACUUUCUCUCUUCAGGAUUGCGGGAGAUCCUACCUGCAUUGGACGUAUCUACAAGUACACAGGAGGAUGAAACACGCCAACGACUUCUUGUAUAAAUGUAACCACUGCGAUCUGACCUUUCCUAACAGUUGGAGCCUGGCAUACCACAGGAAGAAAAUCCACGGACAAACGGGACAAGGUGAUGCCAAUUCUACGACCAAAAUACCCAGAGAAGAUUACAGGAUACCUUGUCGUGAUUGCGAUGAGGUGCUGCCAAACAAAACUGCACUUUAUAAACACAGGAAGAAGGAACACAGUGACAUGACCUCGUCACUGGCUGCCAAUAAUGAAC